UACGGAGGGUGCAAGCGUUAUCCGGAUUCACUGGGUUUAAAGGGUGCGUAGGCGGAUAGGUAAGUCCGUGGUGAAAUCCUGCAGCUUAACUGCAGAACUGCCAUGGAUACUAUCUAUCUUGAAUGUCGUGGAGGUUAGCGGAAUAUGUCAUGUAGCGGUGAAAUGCUUAGAGAUGAUAUAGAACACCCAUUGCGAAGGCAGCUAACUACGCGAUAAUUGACGCUGAUGCACGAAAGCGUGGGGAUCAAACAGG
rnacentral:rRNA from 1 species